rnacentral:tRNA from 1 species
GGGCUAUUAGCUCAGUGGUAGAGCGCGCCCCUGGGCGAGGUCUCUGGUUCAAAUCCAGGAUGGCCCA